rnacentral:rRNA from 1 species
UACAGAGGGUCCGAGCGUUAAUCGGAAUUACUGGGCUUAAAGGGUCCGUAGGCGGGAACGUAAGUACCUUGUGAAAUCCCACGGCUCAACCGUGGAAUUGCAUGGUAUACUGCGUUUCUUGAGUCGGUAGGGGUCAUCGGAACUCUAGGUGUAGCGGUGAAAUGCGUAGAUAUCUAGAGGAACACCAAUGGUGAAGACAGGUGACUGGGCCGAUACUGACGCUGAGGGACGAAAGCGUGGGGAUCAAAC